UAUGUGGUAACAGUGUAUGCCUGUCCUUAACUGUGAUGGGCAUCCCGGGAAGGAGCGAUCUGACUCGGGGGCCGGGAGUGUCGUGGGGCAUCGGCUUCGGUUGGUGUGGCGCGGGGCUUUCGUUUGCAACACUUUACCUAUUUCACCUUGAAGAAAUUAGAGUGUUCAACGCAGCGCUUAGGCGCAUUGAAUAUUGCAGCAUGGGAUGAUAGAAGAGGACAGACGUCUUAUUUUGUUGGUUUUAUGAGACGAUUGUAAUGAUAGAAGGGGACAGUUGGAGGUGUUUGUAUUGUCACGUCAGAGGUGAAAUUCUUAGAUUGUGUCAAGACAAACUUCUGCGAAAGCAUUCACCUAGGAUGUUUUCAUCAAUCAAGAACGAAAGUUGGGGGAUCGAAGACGAUCAGAUACCGUCGUAGUCUCAACCAUAAACUAUGCCGACCGAGGAUUGGAGAAUGUUAAUUUAUAUGACUUCCCCAGCACUUUGCGAGAAAUCAGAGUCUUUGGGUUCCGGGGGGAGUAUGGUCGCAAGGCUGAAACUUAAAGGAAUUGACGGAAGGGCACCACCAGGCGUGGAGCCUGCGGCUUAAUUUGACACAACACGGGAAAACUUACCAGGUCCAGACAACGUAAGGAUUGACAGUUUGAGAGCGCUUUCUUGAUUCGUUGGGUGGUGGUGCAUGGCCGUUCUUAGUUGGUGGUGUGAAUUGUCUGGUUGAUUCCGUUAACGGGCGAGACCUUCGCCUACUAAAUAGCUGCUGGAAGAUAUUGCAUCAAGGCCUAGGGGCCCACUUGCAGAAGGGUUCGUCCCCUGUGAGUGGCAGUUCCCUGGGUUGCUUUUCUUCCAGAAAACGCUUCUUAGAGGGACUAUUUGUGACAAGCAAAUGGAAGUUGGAGGCAAAAACAGGUCUGUGAUGCCCUUCGAUGUUCUGGGCUGCACGCGCGCUACACUGAUAGAGUCAACGAGUUUACAACCUUGGCCGAAAGGCUUGGGUAAUCUUUUGAAACUCUAUCGUGAUGGGGAUAGAUGAUUGCAAUUAUUCGUCUUGAACGAGGAAUGCCUAGUAAGCGCGGUUCAUCUGACCGUGCUGAUUACGUCCCUGCCCUUUGUACACACCGCCCGUCGCUCCUACCGAUUGAAUGGUCCGGUGAAAUCUUCGGACUGUGGGUUUGUCUACUUCUAGUUUUGCUGGAAGUAGCGCCUAUGGAAUGUUGAUUAAACCUU
rnacentral:rRNA from 1 species